rnacentral:sRNA from 1 species
AUGGAUUGAGAGGAGAAACACCACCUGAAAGAUCACACUCGGUGCUGCAUGGCUAGUUGGCUUCGUGUGGGAGGUCCAAACCGCGGGAAAGAGGAAAAAUGUAGCCCUCUUGUCCUCACGAGAGAAGAGUGCAGCUAAUCAGAGUUGAAAUCCGAUGGAGAAACUAGUAGUUUGAAGCAACUACAUUUAUUUUUCCUCCAAUGACAAGAGAGAUAUAUGGUCGCUCUAAAAAAAAUCAUCAGGGACAAGGGUUGAUCGGGUACUUUGUAUCCCAAAAGCAUGGUUGAAGUGACAAUAAGUUUGUGUGAGA